CACAAUGACUCUCGGCAACGGAUAUCUCGGCUCUUGCAUCNAUGAAGAACGUAGCGAAAUGCGAUACUUGGUGUGAAUUGCAGAAUCCCGUGAACCAUCGAGUCUUUGAACGCAAGUUGCGCCCRAAGCCAUUAGGCCGAGGGCACGCCUGCYUGGG
rnacentral:rRNA from 1 species